GAGGGCUCUGGAGCAGUGAACUUGUAUGGCGUGCGAGCCCUCGCGCGCCCUCGCAAAUCGCUGUCACUUGCACUGCGGGUUAACACAACAAAACAAAAUAAAACAUAACACGCAUUAAACCGGCAUUGUGGAACCAAACUAAACAAAACAUAAAAAAAUAAUGUAAAUCAGAACGGAUCAGGACCGGGAACGUCGUCAGGACUGCGAUCGAAAUCGAUACAGCAAUCGUGACCUGGACUAGCAACGAUAUCAGUACUGGCACCGAUAUCAGGACGGGUACCGUUAUCUGUACUGGCACCGGUAUCAGGACAGGCACCGGCAUCAGGAAAGGCACCGGUAUAAGGACGGGCUUAGGGAAUAGGGCUGGCAUCGCGAUCAGGCCUGGCAUCGGGAGCAGGACUGGCACCGGUAUCAAGACUGGCACCGAUUUCAGGACGGGCAUCGGGAUCAGGACGGGCACCGGUAUCAGGACGGGCUUCGGAAUCAGGCCUGGCAUCGGGAGCAGGACUGGCACCGGUAUCAGGACUGGCACAGAUUUCAGGACGGGCAUUGGGAUCAGGACUGGUAUUGGAAGCAGGACGGGCUUCGGGAUCAGGCCUGGCAUCGGGAGCAGGACUGACUUCGGGAUCAGGACGGGAACCGCGUAAAUAUAUGCGAGAAGACGUGGAGCUCUGCUUGCGGAUGGCUAAUGCGGUAGAAAAACAGAACAUCAUCUACAAUAAAAAAUCUCCGCAUUACAAAAACCGAGACCGUCAAAAUGACGCAUGGAUGUGUGUCGCAGAAGAGGUCGGGUUGACCAUGGCAGAGGCCAAAAAAAUGUGGCACAACAUGUUGGCCAAAUAUCGGUCAUACCGAUCCAAAGUGCGCCAGAGCAUGUAGACCGGGUCAGGUAAAUUGUUUUAUUUUUUUAUUUUUAUUCAAGCUAAAAGGCUACAAAUAACUUGUUGACUAUUUUAGUGUUAUGUUUGUAACUUGUACUACUUUAUUACACAUAUUAAAACAUGUAAAACAAAUAAUAAAACACAAUGAACAAACGAUUAACUUUAAAAUAUACAAGUGCGGUGGCCGCGCACCAGCCGCACCGAGCACCCCUGCCGAGAGCUCCUGCUCGAUCGGCUCGCAAACACACUCUGCUUGUGGGCUCGGCACACACUAAGCCUUGCGCUGCUUAGUGUGUGCGACAGUGUGCGUGACACACUGUCGUCCCCCUGAACGUUGACCGGUGGCAUCGCAACUGCCACGGCAAGUCCAGGGGUCGGCACGGCUGCCCACAACAUUUAGCCUACGCCGAAGUUUAUCGCCCGCGAUGGCCAGCCUGGGAGGCUUUGUCGUUUAUGUACGAUGCGUCGGAAGACGCUGAACAUGCAGACACGGUAAGAAUAAUUUGUUUUUAUUGUUUCUGUUAAUCGAUCUACCGCACAAUUUGUUAUUAAAUGUAUUAGUUGCACACUUUAAGAUAUUAAAUGUAUUAGCUCUUCCUUUUUUUGAAAUGUGGUUUUAUUAUGUUACAUUAUCGAUAAUAAUGUAAAAAAACAUUUAGUCAUUGGCUAAAUAUUGUAAAUUAUAAAUUAUUUUCCUAACUAACACGUAAUGCGCAAAUAAUGGGCAAAACCGUCACAGCCUUGAAAUUCUAUAGUUUCACAUUUCGAAACCGAAGGAAAUUAGUCGGUAGCUAUACCAUUUUCAUGAAAUAAUACCAAACCGGCAUAGUUUUUGCUGUGGUGCAAUAAUGAGCAAUAAUUUGGACGUGUGCAACAAUUGGCGAAUGACCCUGCUUAUGGUUUCAAGGUGACCAUACAAAAUAACUUCAAUGCUAACAGGGGUGCAAUAAGUUCAUCCAUUGAAUUAAUAACCAUGUGAUACAGGAUAAAAUAUUCACAAAAUUAUUUAUCGUUGAAAUUAUCCCGAGAUUUAUAUACUGUCAACGUGCUUCUGAACCAACGUGUACCAUUUCUGUUACUUCAAUAACUUUUACCCCAUGUGUUAUAUUAAAAAAAAGUUAGCAUUUUGCAUGCGUUGCAAAAUCAACUAAGUGUGUUACAAUUCAUGCGUGAUUAUAUGCAUUGUUGCUGUUCUUAUAAGACAUAUCUUUGAAAACUCUAUGUUUUUUCGUGUUAUCUUGUUAGAUGAUAUCACUUCAAAAAGUUUUCAGAAGCAGCGUUGUCACAAAUGGUAUAUUUAUAACAUACUAAUACCUUUUUACGUGCAACUUGCCCACUUUGGCCAAGACCAUGUGUUGUGGACAGACCGCUGCCUCAUCCUGAAGGCUCACUGUUGACAGCACGGCUGUCAUCCUGUGACGUCCUCAGUGAGGAUCGCGGCGCGAGCAGGACCGGUCGUCCUCUCCCCGCAUUGCGUGUGCUGUAUUUAUAUUAUUUAUUACGUGCGUGUGUUAUUGUAUAACAUAUACCAAAGAUAUUUGUUAAAUAUAUAUAUUCUGUUUGUGCCGUACACACCACCGUCUCAUGUUUGUUUUGUGCGGACACAACAGUGGCGACGAGGAUGGGAUCCUCCUCGCGUAGGGGGGGAUCCUACAAAGGACCGACGCAGCACGGAGACCACCAUCGCGGUUCCACCAUCGCGCAACCGCCAUCGCGCAGGAUGGGCACGCUCAGGGCUUGCGCGAAGCCCCGAAGGGAUCCUCACUCCGCUGCAGCAUUAUACCGGACAAGGCGAGGGGACAUUCCGCUUUGGACCGUCGUCACACGGCAUCACCGCCGCCCGCUGCAGCGUCAUCGGACACACACUGGUGCAGCAUCGUCAUCGCGGCGCCACAGCCGCCCUUCUGCACCAGCAUCAUCGCGGAGCCCGAUAAGGCACAGUGCUGAGGCAUUUCGGCUGCCCCCUGUGGACCUUCAUCGCCGGCGCUCCAGCUGCACAGGUGCGUCUCGACGGCGACACCACUGUCGCCCCUGUGCAGCACCAUCACAUGUGUCCCGAGUGCACAGUCGUCGUGCGCGGCAUCACGGUCGCCCGCUGUGCACUCGCAUCGUCAUCAUCAUCACCAUCAUCCUGCGCGCCCUGCACAGCAGUUCACCGGCAGCGACAUCACGGUCGCCCCUGUGCAGUGGUACCGGCUGAGCGGUCCAAGCGCGCGCGGCACCACGGCCGCCCCCUGCUCAGCCGCACAUCGACGCCCCAACGGCAGCAGCAUCCGGAGAGCUGCCUCAUCAUCAUCAUCGGCGUCCGGUGCAACGGCUUACGACAACAGCAUCAUGCUGCAGUUGCACCAACAACAACAACAACACCAACAACAACACCACAGCGGCUGCAACGGAACGAGCGAGCGCAGCACAUCGGCUGCCCCCUGUUGCAGCCCGCAACGCUCAUCCCGUUCGAGCGUUAGGCACGGAGGCCGUUCAGCACUCUCCCCCGUUUUACACAGCGCCACUUGAGCCAUACGCUUGCCACUCCGGUUUUAAGUACAUUAAAACCACUGCGUUGGCUUAAGCCGUACCGGCUUAAUUAAAACGGGGAGAUGUUGUGGACAGACCGCUGCCUCAUCCUGAAGGCUCACUGUUGACAGCACGGCUGUCAUCCUGUGACGUCCUCAGUGAGGAUCGCGGCGCGAGCAGGACCGGUCGUCCUCUCCCCGCAUUGCGUGUGCUGUAUUUAUAUUAUUUAUUACGUGCGUGUGUUAUUGUAUAACAUAUACCAAAGAUAUUUGUUAAAUAUAUAUAUUCUGUUUGUGCCGUA